rnacentral:rRNA from 1 species
UGCAAGUCGAACGGUAACAGCACUUCUGGUGGCUGACGAGUGGCGCACGGGUGCGUAACGCGUAUGCAAUCUACCUUUUACAGUGGGAUAGCCCAGAGAAAUUUGGAUUAAUACCGCAUAGUAUCUAGAAUCGGCAUCGAUUUUAUAUUAAACAUUUAUGGGUAAAAGAUGAGCAUGCGUUCUAUUAGCUAGAUGGAGUGGUAACGGCACCCCAUGGCGACGAUAGAUAGGGGCCCUGAGAGGGGGAUCCCCCACACUGGUACUGAGACACGGACCAGACUCCUACGGGAGGCAGCAGUGAGGAAUAUUGGACAAUGGGCGCAAGCCUGAUCCAGCCAUGCCGCGUGCAGGAAGACUGCCCUAUGGGUUGUAAACUGCUUUUAUACGGGAAGAAACACCCCCUCGUGAGGGGGCUUGACGGUACCGUAAGAAUAAGGAUCGGCUAACUCCGUGCCAGCAGCCGCGGUAAUACGGAGGAUCCAAGCGUUAUCCGGAAUCAUUGGGUUUAAAGGGUCCGUAGGUGGAUAAUUAAGUCAGAGGUGAAAUCCUGCAGCUCAACUGUAGAAUUGCCUUUGAUACUGGUUAUCUUGAAUUAUUAUGAAGUAGUUAGAAUAUGUAGUGUAGCGGUGAAAUGCAUAGAUAUUACAUAGAAUACCAAUUGCGAAGGCAGAUUACUAAUAAUAUAUUGACACUGAUGGACGAAAGCGUGGGGAGCGAACAGGAUUAGAUACCCUGGUAGUCCACGCCGUAAACGAUGGAUACUAGUUGUUCGGAGUAAUCUGAGUGGCU